GGAUAGCUCAGCUGGUUAGAGCGUGGUGCUGAUAACGCCACAAUUGCAGGUUCGAUCCCUGUAUGUGACAGCUGCA